rnacentral:rRNA from 1 species
AACGAACGCUGGCGGCAUGCCUAACACAUGCAAGUCGAACGAAGUCUUCGGACUUAGUGGCGCACGGGUGCGUAACGCGUGGGAAUCUGCCCUUGGGUGCGGAAUAACUUCUCGAAAGGGAUGCUAAUACCGCAUAAUGUCGUAAGACCAAAGAUUUAUCGCCCAAGGAUGAGCCCGCGUAAGAUUAGCUAGUUGGUGGGGUAAAAGCCUACCAAGGCGACGAUCUUUAGCUGGUCUGAGAGGAUGAUCAGCCACACUGGGACUGAGACACGGCCCAGACUCCUACGGGAGGCAACAGUGGGGGAAUAUUGGACAAUGGGCGAAAGCCUGAUCCAGCAAUGCCGCGUGAGUGAUGAAGGCCCUAGGGUUGUAAAGCUCUUUUACCUAGGGAUGAUAAUGACAGUACCUGGAGAAUAAGCUCCGGCUAACUCCGUGCCAGCAGCCGCGGU